AAAUUGUCCUUGAACUGGCGGUUUUUCUGGAACAGACAGCAAGCAAGAAGCAACGCACAGACCACAGCGAGCUGCUGAAAUUACAUUUUUUUUCCCCACACGAAAUCUGUCUGGAAGCACAGGAACUGUUAAGUAAACGGCAUCAGAGAUACCGUCUGUUUCAACUGAGCAAUGUCCUGCUGACCUGGAUGCAAAUACAGGCUCUUCCUGCUACACAUCAAAACUAUUCAUGCUGAGCAUCGACCAAAAGAUUACAACUCCACACAUUUCUACAUUCAUCUCUGCAUUGUGCAUGUUUACGGUUUUAACAUUCAUUACCCUUUGGAACUGGGUUCUACUCUGGAGAACAUGCAAAAGGCUUUGACUUUUAUUGGACAAGACAUUGGAGGUUAACAAGCAGCAGGAAAGAGAUAGAAAUAAGGGUCACUACGAUCUCUGAGAAUGCAGGACGGCUGUCUGCACACAUCUACCACAGAAAGAGAAUAAACAAAUUAAGAAACAGAACCAUGACCAGCAGUUGACAGCCAGGCAAAGAAAUGAAGAUGGACAGUCUCCCACCAUGUGCUCAAAGGCCUCAACAUCCAGACCAAAAUCCUACAAACAAACAGACAGAUGCCUUGAUGAUGUUUCAUAUGUACUGGACAUAUAAGAAACCUUCAAACAUGCAUUGUUUCAGAGAAAAAUGGAAAUAUGCUCCAAUAAUUUUGAGAUAAAUCCUGAGUUUUGCAAUAAUGAACAUGUGUUACAACGUCCUAUAAUACAUUUGUAUUGUACAUUUUGGAUCUUAAUACAUUUUCACUUCAUAAUAGCUGUUAGGAGCAAAUGGCUGCAUUGGCAAUAGACAUUCAGACGGGAUUUAAGGCUCAAAUUUAGUUAUUUGAUGAUUCUCCACAAAAAUUGAGUCUAGGCUUCAUUUAUGUUUGGCAACCCAUUACUUAAGCAGUGGUUUAUUCAAUGUUUAAUUCACUGCUGUGGCCAUGUGCAGUCAUGUACCUCUGUCCGUGGCAGGAUAUCUGGGUCAGCCUCAAUUCGACCAAUAAUCUCACAAAGGAUUAUACCAUAUGAGAAGACAUCCACCUAUGAAAUAAAAAUGCUUACUUUACAUUUAUUUCAGUGAUAACAAGACACAACACUUGGAUGUUGAGAUGCUAAUAUUCAAUAACAAGGUACCUUCUCAUUGUAAAGCUCUCCUCUUAACAUUUCCGGGGCCAUCCAGUAGGGGGAGCCCACAACAGCCAAAGGUUGCUUUUCAGCACAAUCACUGUGCACAAACAAGAUAAAUGUUUAUAUUUUCUUAUCUAGGAAUAAUCCAGAUUUGGUUGGUUAACAUGGGGCUGUGAUAAGUAAGCCUCUACUUUUAGAUACCAUAACUACACUAUUAUGGGGGCGUAAAAAAACUUUAUUGAUGGCCAUUUAAAAUUAGUAGUGUAUUCUGAAUAAAUACAAAUGUUUCCAAUUAACAUGUAAUUUGCAAAUACUUCAUUAUAUUACAGUACUAUUUUUGGAGCUCUACCAAAAGUGUGAAAUUAAUUUUCCCACAUUUUUCCCUGUCUGCUGCCUUUCACAUCACAUCUCAGGUAAGAUGCUAGAAAAAGGCUUGAGAUGGUGCACAUUCAUGGGAUGUCAUCAGCCAACCAGCAUUGGCAGCAUGUCAGGACAUAGUUUUCCUGUGGCUCCAGAGUGACAUGGCAUUUUAGUUUAUGGGGCCAUUUGAUAGCCGGGUAACUGGCAUGGAGAUAAGUUGGAAUGCUAACUCCUAAGUUAUUACACAGCUCUCUGGAAUAAUUGAUUCUGAUUGUCCAAUCACAGCAUUCAGCAGUCAAAUAUUCCAGUAUAAUGAUCGCACAUUCAGGCACAAACUGAUAUUUCAUCAAUCCAUGUAAGGUCUAAUCAACCUGUCGGAUUUAUUUCACGUUAAUGACCAGCUGACUGUACACUACUCCUUACGUAUUAUAGACCUCCUUGUUCCUUACAAUCAAUAUUUGGACUUCCCAAAUAAGUGAGAUACUUCAACUUGUAUCACUAGGUAAAGACAUUUAAAAUGCUAAUCAAAAAUAUAAUUAAAUAAAAAAAGUGUCAAAAAACCUGUUUUUCUGUGUAAAAGGAGAGUUGAACUGACCUGUAAUCAGGGAUUUUUUCUGCCAGUCCAAAGUCCCCAACCACAGCUGUAAAAGCAGCAUUUUCACAACGCACCAGACAAUUCUGCGAAAGGGUGACAUGUUAAGAGUUAGGGCUUGGAAAAAAUACAGAUUUUCCGAUGCAUCGCGAUCUUCGUUUGAACGAUCUCAAUAUUGAUUCCCAAGAUUAUCAAAUCCCAAGAUGAUCUUUCGCAACCCUCUGUAAUUCAAAGUCGCUAUGAAACUAAAAAUUUCUAUGAUUAGCCACUGGCUAGUAAAUGUUCAGAUUUCACUCACCAGUGAAUGAGUAGUGGAGAAGUUAUUAGCACAGAGGUCCUUUCACUGUGUGUUGAGAAUAAAAGUUUGGUUUAACACGCCUGUGUGUCCAAAGACGAUCCAUGGAUCCAUAUGUCAUUGAAUAAUGUUUCUUUUAAUACCCUUUCUGUUUUUUACAGUCAGUUGUUGAUUAAAAAAAAAAAAAAAAAAGAAA